UGGGGAAUAUUGCACAAUGGGCGCAAGCCUGAUGCAGCCAUGCCGCGUGUGUGAAGAAGGCCUUCGGGUUGUAAAGCACUUUCAGCGGGGAGGAAGGCGAUAAGGUUAAUAACCUUGUCGAUUGACGUAACCCGCAGAAGAAGCACCGGCUAACUCCGUGCCAGCAGCCGCGGUAAUACGGAGGGUGCAAGCGUUAAUCGGAAUUACUGGGCGUAAAGCGCACGCAGGCGGUCUGUCAAGUCGGAUGUGAAAUCCCCGGGCUCAACCUGGGAACUGCAUUCGAAACUGGCAGGCUAGAGUCUUGUAGAGGGGGGUAGAAUUCCAGGUGUAGCGGUGAAAUGCGUAGAGAUCUGGAGGAAUACCGGUGGCGAAGGCGGCCCCCUGGACAAAGACUGACGCUCAGGUGCGAAAGCGUGGGGAGCAAACAGG
rnacentral:rRNA from 1 species